UCCCCGACCCCUGAGUUUUUUAGAAAACUUAAAUUUAAUCAACUCAAAUAUAGACCAAGUCUUCUAAACAUCUUUUAACAAUAAAAACUUCACCACAAAUUAUUUAUAAUCAUACCUGAGAUCUCAAGGGUCUUUGAUCACGAAACCUCAACUCUUUCUUCAAUCUUUAUCUUCUAAUUCUUCGAGACUCCGUUCAAUACUUCACGAAAUUCGCCAACUUAUAAAAUCCUUAACAAUCUCCCCCUUUGGCGAUUUCGUCACAAAAUACAAAAGAGAAUUUACAAUGCUUAUCCAAAAACAAAAAUAAGAAGGUUAUUGCAAUCACCAAACAACAACCUUCUGCAUGAUCGAUCCAAAAAAAAAAAAUACAUUUUUCACAUCCUAAUACAAACUCUAUGACUUAGGACACGACAUAGAGUCUCGAAGUCUUGAAAUAUCCUGCAAAACAAUCUCCACACAUUUCAUCAAAAAUUUGCAAUGAAUUUAGUUAUAAGUCGAGUUCAAGCAUAGUUACAUCCUAAUCAAAGUUCAAGCAUAGUUACAUCCUAAUCAAAGUUCAAGCAUAGUUACAUCCUAGCACAUAAAGUAAAGUCACAUAAAGCAUAGUAAAGCAUAGUUGCAUCAUCAGCAUCAUCAUCAUCAUUCUCCCCCUUUUUUGUCAAGAAAACGCCAAAACGACCAAAAAGAGAGAACGCCAAAACGAGCUCAGUUGGAAUCAGCACCAGGCGCAGGAAGAUCCGUGCUACAACACCCUAGUUUGUCAAAGAUAGCUUUCAUUAGAUGACGAAGCUUGCUCACUUGCCGAGUGAGGCGCUCCUGCUCAGCAACCAUGCGAGCCUGAUCCUCAGAAAUCCGUCGAAGUUCGCCCGAAAUCCGUUCUUGCUCUAGAGAUAACCUUUGUUGUUCCCGAUAAACAGAAGAGACGGACAUUUCUUCCUCAGACACCUCUGCCGAAGGACGAGAAGGACCAGGAGGUGGAGUGGAACGCUGUUGAGACGAACGUCGCGGAGGAGAGCGCUGCGACUGAAGCUGCACCGAAGAUUUAAUGAACGUAGUCUCACUAAUCACGCCUAGACUAUGUUCAUAUGACGAACAUCUCGUGUCCACAUCAAACAUCCUCAGAAUCCGCAUUAUAAUUAACGGAUAAGGCAACCUCUCGGACUGACUAGAAGUCUUGAUGUCUUUAGCCAUACGGCGCCAAACCAAAAAUGGAACAUUAAGAUUGAUCUUCCUAUCACGAACCACAUUCGGCUGACCCACCAAAUACAUAUAAAGCAAGCGAUCCCAAUGCACCACCUUCGUGUUAGCCAACGGCAUUAUAUUGUAGCAGACCACAAAAUUCAAGAAACGAAACUCUAUCUGUAAUUCCUUCGACAUCACACAAAUGUCAUUUGGUUCAAUGUUGGGCAAACAUACGCCAUUCAUAACCAAACGCCAAUCUCGAACCGCAUCAAAACCAGCAUGCAAAUAUUCAAUUCCAUCAGUCCGAGCCUGCAUACCAAGAACAGAAGCAAUAGUUUCAGGCGUAAUUGUCAACUCAACGCCACGCACAGAGGUCUUAAAGAUGAACGGUCCACCAUCGGAAUCCUCCAGAUAUCCCGCUCUCAUAUAGAAUUCCCGAAUUAAUUCCAAACAGUAGCCAGUUUGUUCGGGAAAGUCGCAAAUUUCGUAGAGACCCCCGUUCUCAAAUAAGGCUUGAAGACCAGGAACUCGAUCAAUUAAGUUCUGAACUCCAACGUGGCGCUCACCAAUACAAUUCUUCGAAGAGUACAUAGAGCGUCGCUUCGGAUCAACAUUGCCUUCCUGAGUACUGCGACGAGGUACAUCAACGGUAGGUUCACGAAUUGCAAUACCUCCAGUCUUCUUUUUACUACGAGAAUAUGUCAAUUUUUCCGUUCCUUUCCCUUUGGCUUUGCUCUGUCCUUUCUCCUUUUCUGUAACUACCUUUUCCUUCCCUUUCUUCUUCGUCGACAACACUUCCGGAGAGAGUGCUUCCCAAUCCGUCGACUCAGUUUCCGAUUCUUCAUCAGGAGCAUAUUCACUGCCGACAUCCUCAACUGGUGGCUCGACAGGUUGUUUAGUCGAAGUACGCUGGCGCUUACCACCUCGACCACCACCAGCCAUGAGGAACACAAGAGCAAGCAAAAAAGAAUACAUUUUGUUGUCGAAAGAGAUCCCUGUUUCAACAAGUUAAGAAUAAAACACAGAUAUCAUUCAUUUUCCCUUUUUUUUAUUUAGAAAACAACAGGAAACACUGAUGGAACCUAGGGCCACACAAAAAAAUAAUGCACAAGAGAGUGAAAUGCAUGAAUGGAUCAAGGAUCAUGAGGAUAUAGCAAAGAUCAGUGUGUAGAAACAAGGAACUCAAAAAUCACAGAUCAAAUCCCACCAAAACACAUUCUCGGAACAAAUAUGCAAAAAUAAAAUCUAAAAAGAAAACGUACCAAUCAAAGCAAGGAAAAACGGGAAGAAAAAGAGCAAACACCCAUUGGAGCCCUAGACCGGUCGUGGGAAGAGUUUUAGACAAAAUGGUAAAGUAGGAGAGAGACCGGACCAACAUUCGUAUAUAGGGUCGGGCGGAGGGACCGGUCCUUCAAGACAGGGGACCGGUCCCCGUACUAAAAAAAAAAUUCCAAUGAGUAAUAUAAAUUUUAUAAGUAUGGUAAACAAAAUCAAUUUCAAAAAUACUCAAAAUGUCAAGAUUCGUUGAACAAAUAGACGAAUUAAAUUCUAAAUGGGUAUAAUGCUAAAAUCCACACAUCAAUCAAGAUCUAAAAAUUAAUCGUCUCGUAUUGUCUUCAUAAUUGCAAAAUAGAGGAAUAGAAGAUCCCAUAAUCACGAAAUUAAGAUAAGAUGAUCAAAUUGAGUUAUGCAGAAGAUUCGACAAGGGAGUGGCUCUUUGAGCAUCUUUUCACUAUCCACCUUAUAUCACCUAAGAGAUGUAUUGUAAAUAACUCAUAUUUUAUCAUCUCCAAAGUACCGCUUUUAAACCUCCUUUUUUUUAAUAUAUAUAUCACAGGACAUUGUUGGCUUCGUCAUCAACAGAGAUGCUUUAACCAGACAUGUGGUAGCUGCACACACUUACCGGACGACCGGAGUGGUAGCUCUUUCCUCCAUGUGGUGUUAGUUUUCACACUCCCAUGAGGGAUGUAACCCUUUCCACAUCUUUUGUCAUUCUAAUUUAAUUCCAGGAAAGACUCCCCCUAAAUAAGUGCAACCCUCAAGUUGACGAUAUUAUCUUAAGUUCAAAAAUAGGGAACUCGGUAUUCAUAUCAUAGCUCAUAAUCCAACAAGAUAAAGACAAUGUUUAAAGUUCAAAGAAGGAGAUAUUGACUUUAGCAAAUUAUACUAAAAUCGAAUUUGAAUGAAUCUAUCUUUUCAAAAAAUAUGACACAGAGAAUAAAAAUGAUAUUGACCAAGCUAACCACAUUACAAAAUAAUGAAAAUCAUGUCUCGGAUAUCUCAAAAAUGACCAAAUAAAAACGACAGAUAUGCAAAAGAGUUUGUGCAAGAUCUAUGGCCCAAAGACUAUAUCUAAACAGAUGGAUUCAUACCAAUAGCCUUUCGCAAAUGAAGAAAACGUUUUUGAUCUAACGGUUUUGCCAAAAUAUCAGCAAGCUAAUUUUCAGUGGAAAUAUAUUCAAGAUAAAGAAGAUUUGAUUCGACUAGUUCCCUUAAAAAAUGAUAUCUGAGUUCAAUGUGUUUCGUUCGAGAAUGUAAAACAGGGUUUUUAGAAAUAUUAAUUGCACUUGUGUUAUCACAAAGAAUAGUAAGAGUGGUGGAUGGGAUCCGAUAGUCGCUCAGUAAGCUCUUCAUCCAUAACAACUGAGUAGAGCAACUACCAGCAGAGAUAUACUCAGCCUCGGCAGUGGAUAGUGCAAUACAGUUCUGUUUCUUGCUGUGCCAAGCAACAAGACAAUGUCCGAGAUAGAAACACGCUCCACUAGUGCUCUUCCGAUCAUCGGCAGAGCCAGCCCAGUCUGCAUCCGAGUAUCCAAUCAAAUCAAGAGAUGUUCCCAUAGGAUACAAGAGACCAUAAGCGGUUGUACCUUUAACGUAUCGAAUAAUCCUUUUGACCGCUUUGAGAUGAAUUUCCUUAGGAUUAGCUUGAUAGCGAGCACAAAUUCCAACGCUGAAUGCAAUAUCUGGUCUACUUGCAGUCAAGUACAAUAGGCUCCCAAUCAUGCUUCUGUAUAGUUUCUCAUCUACACUCGGUCCUUCCAAAUUCACUCCAAGACCUUUAUUACUUGUACCCAUUGGAGUGUCAAAAUCCUUUGCGUUAUCCAAUCCAAAUUUCUUAACCAAAUCUUUUGCAUAUUUGGAUUGACACAAGUGUAUUCCAUCUUUUGUUUGUUUGACUUGAAGUCCAAGAAAAUAGUUAAGCUCUCCCAUCAUUGACAUCUCAAAUUCACUCGUCAUCAGCUUUGCAAAAUCACUGGCAUCUUUAUCCUUAGUUGCUCCAAAGACGAUGUCGUCAACAUAAAUUUGUGCCACGAUGAAAUUAUCUUUCGAGUGUUUAACAAACAGAGUUCUAUCCGCUCCCCCUCGGUUGUAGCCCUUUUCCAAAAGAAAUUUUGUCAAACGCUCGUACCAUGCCCGCGGAGCCUGUUUAAGACCAUAAAGUGCCUUUUUCAGACGAAAAACAUGAUUAGGAAAUUUUGAAUCUAUGAAACCUUUUGGUUGUUCAACAUAGACUUCCUCCUUUAGUAAACCAUUUAGAAAAGCACUUUUAACAUCCAUUUGAAAAAGAGUAAUUUUAAAAUGACAGGCAAUCGCAAACAGAAUACGGAUUGAUUCAAGACGAGCAACCGGGGCGAAAGUUUCCUCAAAAUCUAUUCCCUCAACUUGUGAGUAGCCUUGAGCAACUAGUCUUGCUUUGUUUCGAACAAUGGUACCAUCCUCAUUUUUCUUAUUCUUAAAAAUCCACUUGGUACCAAUUAUAUGCUGUUGCUCAGGACGUGGCACCAAUUCCCAGACAUCAUUACGCGUGAAUUGACCAAGUUCGUCUUGCAUAGCAUUAAUCCAGUAUUCAUCGAGAAGAGCUUCAUCAACAUUCUUUGGCUCAACUAGAGAAACGUAGCAAGCAAAUUCACACUGAAGCUGUCUCCGAGUUUUCACACCAGUAAGAGGGUCUCCGAUAACAUUUGACAAUGGAUGAUCUUUCACAGGUGUAAGUUCAGAUGAGGUGAUAGGGGUUUCAGAUGAAUCAUGUGAUGCAACAGUGUCAAUAGUUUCAGCAGAAAUAUCAGGCACAGAAAUUUCAUCAAUCACAGGCAAGUUAAAUGGAGAAUCAUUAUCAUCAUCACUCAUCACAGAAGUAGAAGAACCAUUCACUGAAGAGCUUACAGAAGAAGCUUCAUCUACUUUUAUAUUAAUGGAUUCUAUCACCGUCUUAGUACGUAAAUUGUACGCACGAUAUGCACGACUAGAAGUAGAAUAUCCAAGAAAGAUUCCUUCGUCACUUCGGGAGUCAAAUUUUCCAAGAUUUUCACGAUCCCGAAGGAUAAAACAUUUACUCCCGAAGACACGAAAGUAUUUAAUGUUCGGUUUUCUACCAAUCCACAAUUCAUACGGAGUGUUUAACGUACCCGGGCGUAAAUAGAUGCGGUUAAUCACAUAGACAGCCGUGUUAACUGCUUCAGCCCAGAAGUGUAGUGCAACUUUCUUGCUAUGAAGCAUAACACGUGCCAUCUCUUGAACAACCCGAUUUUUACGUUCAACCACUCCGUUCUGUUGUGGUGUAUAGGGAGCAGAGAAUUCAUGUUUGAUGCCUUUUGAAACACAGAAAUCAACAAAUUUUGAAUUUAUGAAUUCUCCCCCUUGAUCACUUCGAAUGCGUACAAUUUUAUCAUUCCUUUCAUUCAUAAGACGAAGACAGAUUUCAGAAAAAGAAUCAAAAGUAUCAGCUUUUUCACGUAAGAAAGCACUCCAGACAAAACGAGUAAAAUCAUCAACAAUAAGCAGAAUGUAUCGUUUACCACCCAAACUUUGAAUCCUAGAAGGUCCCAUUAAGUCCAUGUGUAGUAGCUCUAAUGGUUUAGAUGUCCCUAAGUGGUUCAAAUUCUUAUGUGUGGCUCUAGUUUGUUUCCCCAAUUGGCAACCCCCACACACAGUGUUCUCCUUGAAGUCUAUCUUAGGUACACCUCGAACAACCUCCUUCUUAGUUAUCUUAGAUAGUUCCUUAAAGUUCAUGUGACCUAGACGUUCAUGCCAUAAAGUUUCAGUUUCUAAUGUCGUUAGGUUACAAUGUUCAGUUGAAGAGCUAGGAACUACAUAACAGUUAUUCUCCGAUCUUACACCUUUUAAGAAGAUGUCAUUAUUACGAGUCAUAGUGCAAUCUUUGUCAGAAAAUUUAACGGAGUACCCGUCAUCACACAACUGACUUAUGCUCACGAGAUUUGAUUUGAGCCUCUCAACAUAAAAGACAUCAUUCAAAGUAGGGCCAUCUGAGAUAGCGACAGUUCCUUUUCCAACAAUUUUUGAUGACCGACCAUCUCCAAAAACAACAAGUCCACCGGAGAUUUUGUUUAAAGAAAAAAACUAAUUUUUAUCACCGGUCAUAUGACGUGAACAGCCACUAUCCAGAUACCAAGAAGCAUUGUCGUAAGCAUGAAGUGAAGUGUGAAUGACAAGGCAAGGAAAGAGUUCACCUUUGCGCACCCAAACCUUAUGUGUUUUGGGUUGCGUUGUCCGACUUGAUUGAGAUACGCUUUGCUUGUCGUCGAUUUGUGUAAUUCUUUUCUUUGAAUCAUUCUUCUUAGGCAUCCACAUUUGUCUUGCCUUUGUCUUUGGAUUCUCCUUCUUCAGUUGUUCCUUUGGUCUCCUAUUCAUGUGUGUUGUAGCAUUUUUCGGCUUUUGUUUGCAAAAUCUCUUCACAUGACCUACAGCACCACAAAGAUGACAGGUUUUGUUAGCAAAUAAAUUCUUUGGAGGAACAAACUUACCAUAGAGCUUCAGAACCGGUUUUGUCGAAUGUUCGUCUACUUUCUUCAUUGCUUGAUCGACAUAUGUCCGUUCGUAUCCAAGUCCAAGUUUGUUGGUUUGACCGAGUCCUAACAUCUUAUCAAGUUUGCUUGACCCGGACGAGAAUUUGUUCAAAUCAGAUUUGAGUUGAAUGAUAGUCUUGGUAAAUUCCAUGUUGGAUUCUCUUGCUUCCGUGUAUUGCUUGUUAAGAAAAUUAAUGUUUUCAACCAAAGUUUCCUUUUCCUUCUGAAGCAGUGCACACUUGUCUAAUAAAGUAUUAUAUAACUCGGUCAAAGUGUCCUUUUCUUGCUCCAAACUUUUUGUCAAUGACUCUAAUCUUGUAUUGUCUUGGUCUAGAUCAUACAGUCUUCGUCUCAACUUCUUGUUGUGUUUCGCCACUUUCUUUGAUUCAAUAACAAGUUGAUGAUAUGCGGCGGCCAUAUCUUCUUCUUCCGAUUCUUCAUCCGUCGAGUUUUCCGUAGAAGAUUUUUCAUGCAAAGAGGACAUAGAAAUUGAGUCAGUCGAUGCUAAGCACAUAAAAGUAGAAUCCUGUGCAAUAAGUGCAGUGGCGUUAACGUCAUCAUCACUUGAGGACGAUUCGUCGGAGGAAGACUCAUCCCAAGUAAUGGCUUGCAUCGCUUUCUUUUUCAAGGACUUUUUGUUAGGACAAUCUGAUGCAAUAUGACCAAAACCCCUACACUUAUAGCAUUGGAUUUGACCUUCGCUACUUUUCUUUUCUUUUGUAAAAUCUUUUUGAAAAUUUUCCGAUUUUUUAAACUUUGAAGAAGAGGAGGAAGAGGAACUCCCUUUUGAUUUGUUUGGCUUGGAGGGAGUUGGCUUAGAAGAGAACUUCUUUCUAAAGUUCCGACGAAACUUCUUAGUCAAAAGAGCCAUUUGCUUCUCAAACUCUUCCAAGGUUACGUCUGAGUCCGAGUCCGAUGAAGAAGAUUCCACAUUGCCUCCUUUCGUUGAUUUUAGUGCCAUACCUGAAGCUUUAGAAGACAACUUGGAAGAAGAUGAAUUAGCAGGAAAAGUCAUUUCAUACGUUUGAAGAGCACCAACUAAUUCAUCUACUUUGAGUUCAUCCGGAUGUUUUACCGUUUCAAUGGCCGCAACCUUGGGACGAAAACGUUCGGGAAGAGUUCUCAAAAUUUUUCGAACGAUUUUUGGUUCAGAAAUUUUUUCACCCAAAUUUGCACAAGUAUUGACAAUAUCUUGAAGACGAGUGUAAUACUCGGUAAAGGUUUCAUUUUCUUCCAUACGAAUAGCAUCAAAACGACUAGUCAACAUUUGUAAUUUCUGAACCUUUACCAAGCUUGUACCCUCAUGAGUGAUUUGUAAGGUAUCCCAAAUUUCUUUGGCGGUUUCACACGCCGAAACUCGAGAAAAUUCAGUUUGAUUCAAAGCAUUGAACAAAGCAUUGAUACCCUUCCCAUUGAACGAAGAUAGUUCGUUUUCCUCUUUUGUCCACUUAUUUCUAGGUUUCGGACCGGUAACAUUCUCGACCACUUCAGUAGGAUGUUUCCAUCCGAAUUCAAUGGCUUGCCAAACCCUCUCGUCGAUAGCAAUAAGAAACGCCCUCAUACGGACUUUCCAAUAAGCGUAGUUAGUGCCAUCGAAGAGAGGGGGUCGAUUAAUGUUACCGCCCUCGGCCAUAGAUUACAACCUAUACCCGCUCUGAUACCACUUGUUAGAUAUGGAUCCCGAGGAUCUAAAAGGUGAAAACACACCUAGAGGGGGGUGAAUAGGUGUAAAUGGUAAAAAUAAAAUAAACUCGAUGCGAAUAUAAAGUAAACGCGGAAAACUCCAAAUCGGAGAGAAAAACCCACAUGACCGAUCACACAAAGAAAUACACUAAGAAAACAUAAGUACAAGUGAUUUUGCAAAAAUACAAGACUCAAAAUACCGAAUCCUUGCUGUAGAUUAUCUUUGCCAGUCAACGACCGCUUGGAAUCCUCCAACCGAUCACACUGCAAAUCCUUGCAGCCGCACACGCCUUGAUUCCACGAAACGACCACUGAAUCCACGGUCUUCACGCGAGAUCCACACGCUAACGCUUCAUCCGAAGCUCAUAGAAAUUCAACUAUUUGUGGUGAUUUAAGAUCUUUGAAAGCACAUAUAAUAUGAGGAGAAACCCAAAUUAAAACAUCACCAAUUUGAUCCUUAACGAAAAUUUGAAUCAAAAUCAAAGAAUCAAAUUGACGAUCUAAUGCUUGAUGGUUAAAACAUUGAACAAAUCUCCGAAUCAAGCCGUUAGGGUUUCUGAAAGUUAUUUUGCUCAACUCACCUCAAAUAGAGAUCCUCAUAUCAUAUUUAUAGGUUUAGAAGACUUCUAGGUAGAUUAGGAUUCCAAAAACUCAAUUUUAAAAACAGACGACGGUCUCAGGAUCCGGUUCUUUCGAGGAGACCGGUCCUUGGGAGACCGGUCCUCCAAGGUGAGGUCCGGUCUUUCGCUGCGUAGAUGUUAAAAUAUGCGUACGGGGACCGGUCCUCAAUUCAGAGACUGGUCCUUCCCUGCGCAACAAGAAAAACCACGUACGGGGACCGGUUCUCAAGAUCAGAGACCGGUCUCCCAAAACUUCUACGCAGAGAAGCUUGAUGGGUCCGGUCUUUCUGAUCAAGGACCGGUCCCCGACCCCUGAGUUUUUUAGAAAACUUAAAUUUAAUCAACUCAAAUAUAGACCAAGUCUUCUAAACAUCUUUUAACAAUAAAAACUUCACCACAAAUUAUUAUAAUCAUACCUGAGAUCUCAAAGGUCUUUGAUCACGAAACCUCAACUCUUUCUUCAAUCUUUAUCUUCUAAUUCUUCGAGACUCCGUUCAAUACUUCACGAAAUUCGCCAACUUAUAAAAUCCUUAACAUUCCCGA
rnacentral:lncRNA from 1 species